rnacentral:tRNA from 1 species
UGGGUCCAUAGCUCAGUUGGGAGAGCGCCUGCUUCGCAUGCAGGAGGUCGACGGUUCAAGUCCGUUUGGAUCCAU